GAUGAACGCUGGCGGCGUGCCUAAUACAUGCAAGUCGAGCGAACGGACGAGAAGCUUGCUUUUCUGAUGUUAGCGGCGGACGGGUGAGUAACACGUGGAUAACCUACCUAUAAGACUGGGAUAACUUCGGGAAACCGGAGCUAAUACCGGAUAAUAUUUUGAACCGCAUGGUUCAAAAGUGAAAGACGGUCUUGCUGUCACUUAUAGAUGGAUCCGCGCUGCAUUAGCUAGUUGGUAAGGUAACGGCUUACCAAGGCAACGAUGCAUAGCCGACCUGAGAGGGUGAUCGGCCACACUGGAACUGAGCCACGGUCCAGACUCCUACGGGAGGCAGCAGUAGGGAAUCUUCCGCAAUGGGCGAAAGCCUGACGGAGCAACGCCGCGUGAGUGAUGAAGGUCUUCGGAUCGUAAAACUAUGUUAUUAGGGAAGAACAUAUGUGUAAGUAACUGUGCACAUCUUGACGGUACCUAAUCAGAAAGCCACGGCUAACUACGUG
rnacentral:rRNA from 1 species